rnacentral:lncRNA from 1 species
GUAAUAAAAUUUCACAUAUAUAGCAAUUAUUAUAAAAUGUGAAAAGAGAAGUAUACCAUCUUUAUUUUAAUUAAUCAUAAAACAUAGGAUAAAUGCAAUUGCUUUACGUAAUAGUUAGAUAAGUGAGUCUGUAGUAGCAACUUUCUUUCAAAUAACACAACUUUCUCUCCAACAAUUUAUUUUGGGAGAGAGGGGAGGAGGGAGAGGGAGAAAACCAUGAUUAAGACUUNN